GGAUAGCGCUCAGCGCGAAAGAGCGUCGAGAACUUGAAAACCGCUGGGCGUAAGCCCUUGGGGGUUCGAGUCCCUCGCCCUCCG
rnacentral:tRNA from 1 species